UACGUAGGGGGGCUAGCGUUGUCCGGAAUCAUUGGGCGUAAAGCGCGUGUAGGCGGUUCGGUAAGUCCGCUGUGAAAGUCGGGGGGCUCAACCCUCGGAUGCCGGUGGAUACUGUCGGGCUUGAGUACGGAAGAGGCGAGUGGAAUUCCUGGUGUAGCGGUGAAAUGCGCAGAUAUCAGGAGGAACACCAAUUGCGAAGGCGACUUUCUGGCCUAUAACUGACGCUGAGGCGCGAAAGCGUGGGGAGCAAACAGG
rnacentral:rRNA from 1 species